UACGUAGGGUGCGAGCGUUGUCCGGAAUUAUUGGGCGUAAAGAGCUCGUAGGCGGCCUGUUGCGUCUGCUGUGAAAGCCCGGGGCUCAACCUCGAGCUGUCGGCUGAAACCAUCUGGCUAGAGUCCGGAAGAGGAGAAUGGAAUUCCCGGUGUAGCGGUGAAAUGCGCAGAUAUCGGGAAGAACACCCGUGGCGAAGGCGGUUCUCUGGGACGGUACUGACGCUGAGACGCGAAAGCGUGGGGAGCGAACAGG
rnacentral:rRNA from 1 species